CUCCAAGUUACGUACAUCCACACACGGAUUAGCAUUCUUUCUAGCAUUAAGCAGACUAGCUUAGCUGUACAUGAUCUGAUGAAUCAGACCGACUCUCAUCCACCCAUCUGUUCAGCCGCACACACUGUUUAUCCGACGGCUAAUCUGGGAUCUCAGGUUUGGGACACAGGGAAAGAAGGAAGGACAGGAAUAGCAUCGACUAGCCGACCUGCUAACUCCGCUAGCUUACUGAUGAGGAAGGGUCAUGGUAGUGAGUAGCUGAACUGCAGGGAUUGUGGACGUGCCUGCGAGGGUCCAAGCGGCCACUGGACCAUGUGCACGACCAUCAUGGUGCUCACCACAGUGGCCGUUAUUCUGCGUCGACGCUUUUCCAACAGAGUCAAACCGCUUCAGGAGGAGCUCUUUGAGAAGGACGUGGCGUACAUGCGGAGCGACAGCACAAAUGCGCACAAGUGAUCGCCGCUUCUUCACGUACGGGGCUGCGUAUCAGGUUUACGGUCAGCAGCAAGUCGAGGGAACAGAAACACAACAACUGGGAUGACAAGACAGCGAUGGAAAAGCGCAGCACUAUUUGACAAGGCA